rnacentral:rRNA from 1 species
CCGAUCUCCAGCCUCUGGAUAGGUGCUCUUUCAUUACCGCCGCCGCUGUCCGAGGGAAGACGUCGCUGCCGCCAAGGGGAGACACCACCGCCGCCCUUGGCGCCGUAUUCCCUUGAUGCCUUCUUCCAGAACGCCGCAGAGAAGAAGGCCGCCGGGGCGCAGCAGCAGGAGCCCUCGCUGCGGGCCGCCGCGACGGUUGCCGCCACAGACUCCCUCCUCGCCAAUUUGUUCGCGGGCGUCUCGGCCGUCAAGGCGGCCUACGCGCAGCUGAAGCUCAUGCAGUUCCCCUAUGACGCAGAGACCAUUCAGUCUGCGGAUGCCGCCGUGGUCGGGGAGCUCACCAGGCUGUCCAACACCAAGCGGAGGUUCCUCAAGGGUCCCGCAGGCGCGGCCAGGGACGCCGCGGCCGCAGGCAACACUGCCCUCUCCACGCAUGCCGAGGAGCAGCGGCAUCUGCUCAAGAAGUACCAGAUCACGGCGCGCAAGCUGGAGGCGAAGCUCCGUGCAAAGGAUGCGGAGCUCGACUGCGCCAAGGGCUCCCUCGAUGCAGAUAACAUAAGCUCUUCUUUUUUCUUGUGUGUUUGA